rnacentral:rRNA from 1 species
UGCAAGUCGAACGUGAAAGCACUUCGGUGUGAGUAGAGUGGCGGACGGGUGAGUAACGCGUGGGAAUCUGCCCAGUAGUGGGGGACAACUACCGGAAACGGUAGCUAAUACCGCAUACGCCCUAUGGGGGAAAGGCUUCGGCCGCUAUUGGAUGAGCCCGCGUCAGAUUAGCUAGUUGGUAGGGUAAAGGCCUACCAAGGCAACGAUCUGUAGCUGGUCUGAGAGGACGAACAGCCACACUGGGACUGAGACACGGCCCAGACUCCUACGGGAGGCAGCAGUGGGGAAUAUUGGACAAUGGGCGAAAGCCUGAUCCAGCAAUGCCGCGUGUGUGAAGAAGGCCUGCGGGUUGUAAAGCACUUUCAGUUGGGAAGAUGAUGACGUUACCAACAGAAGAAGCACCGGCUAAAUCCGUGCCAGCAGCCGCGGUAAUACGGAUGGUGCGAGCGUUAAUCGGAAUUACUGGGCGUAAAGCGCGCGUAGGCGGCUAAGUCAGUCAGAAGUGAAAGCCCCGGGCUCAACCUGGGAAUUGCUUUUGAUACUGCUUAGCUAGAGUUUGGUAGAGGAUAGUGGAAUUUCAGGUGUAGCGGUGAAAUGCGUAGAUAUCUGAAGGAACAUCAGUGGCGAAGGCGACUGUCUGGACCAAAACUGACGCUGAGGUGCGAAAGCGUGGGUAGCAAACAGGAUUAGAUACCCUGGUAGUCCACGCCGUAAACGAUGUCAACUAGCCGUCGGGUCUAUUUACAGACUUGGUGGCGCAGCUAACGCGAUAAGUUGACCGCCUGGGGAGUACGGCCGCAAGGUUAAAACUCAAAGGAAUUGACGGGGGCCCGCACAAGCGGUGGA